AGCUAUAGGCUUAACACAUGCAAGUCGAGGGGCAGCGAGUAGAUAGCUUGCUAUUUAUGUCGGCGACCGGCGCACGGGUGAGUAACGCGUAUCCAACCUGCCCAUAACUAAGGGAUAACCCAGCGAAAGUUGGACUAAUACCUUAUGUAUUCGUUUGAUCUCAUGAGAUUACGAAUAAAGAUUUAUCGGUUAUGGAUGGGGAUGCUUCUUGAAUAGCUUUGUUUGGCGGGUUAACGGCCCCACCAAGGCAACGAUCAUUAGGGUUUCUGAGAGGAAGGUCCCCCACAUUGGAACUGAGACACGGUCCAAACUCUACNGGGAGGCAGCAGUGAGGAAUAUUGGUCAAUGGACGCAAGUCUGAACCAGCCAAGUAGCGUGCCCAGGAUGACGGCCCCUAUGGGUUGUAAACUGCUUUUAUAUGGGGAUAAAGUGGGGAACGUGUUCUCUUUU
rnacentral:rRNA from 1 species